CCUUUGAUGUUCUUACCAGCAUCUUAUUUUAAUAUACUUUUUCUUUAUCGUUAGCCAGCAAAUGCAGAACAGCUAAAACACAAUGUUAAAGACUCAGCAGUGCAUAUCUGAUUGAAUAACCAAUAAACAAAAUACAGUGUUUCAUUUUCCCUGAAACUGCUGCCCUCAUUUCUCCAAAGACAGAUCAUGGAGGCAAAAAAAGUUGCUCAAAAAGUUUGGGUGAGUCUGACGAACAAAUUGUCAAAGCCACCUACUCUACGUAUUUUAUAAACCCGGAACUGAUUUGAAAUGAAGGAAAACAUAAGAAGCUUAUUAAUGAAUUAUCUUAUGCAGUCCAUAAACAGAAGACACCAGACCUCUGUCUUUUGGCAUCUCACAUGUAGACUAAGAAUUGUGCGUAGACUCUGGCUAUACUAAGUGAGAAGCUGAAAUCCUAAAAUGUUCAUCUUCCAACUUUUUCCAGUCUGUGGUCUGUCUUGGGAUCAGCAGUAAUUGCCUGGACAGCUAUAAUGGCUUCAUUAAUUUUUGUUUGUGUUCUGUGUUCUUCAUGCAAUGAUAGAAGAAAUGCAUCUCCUGGGUCAAAGUCUAAAUGUUCUUUUCUAAACUGAUCAACUGCAUCUGAUAUAAACACUCCGAAUGUAAAAAGCAAAUUGCAUUAGGGAUUUCCGCAUAAUCAUCAGGGCAACAAAACUGAUGUUUAGCCAAAACCAUUAUACCAGCUUCAAAAUCAGGAAUAUUUACAUUUAAAUUUGUUUUUUAAGCUGCAUUGUCAACAUUUUUUUUGUAUUCUCGUGUGCCAAAAAUUUGUAUUUUUCAGUACUGUGUCCGUAUUCACAAUUUACAGCUAAUCCAGAGAGCCAGUCAGUUGUGUUUUUAUUGAUUUGUAGUCUCAAAGGAAAAGCUAACAUCUUG
rnacentral:lncRNA from 1 species